GUGCUCACAUCAGCAGCACAGAUCCUAAAACUGGAAUGAUACAGAGAAGAUUAGCAUGGCCCCUUGCAAGGAUGACACACAAAUUCCUGAAGCUUUCCAUAUUUCU
rnacentral:snRNA from 1 species